GAUCGGAUCAAGCGCGAGAAGGGCGUUUGGUGGAUGCCUUGGCAGCAAGAGGCGAUGAAGGACGUGAUACUCUGCGAUAAGCUAGGGGGAGCCGAGAAUAGGCUUUGAUCCCUGGAUCUCCGAAUGGGGCAACCCACCUGACAGCAAGUUAUAAUAGCCGCGCAAGCGGUGAUUUAUAACCUGUUGAACCAGGUACUUCUUACCUGAACACAUAGGGUUUGAAGAGCAAACCCGGGGAACUGAAACAUCUAAGUACCCGGAGGAAAGGACAUCAAUUGAUACUCCCCUAGUAGCGGCGAGCGAACGGGGACCAGCCGAGCCGUGAAUGUGACCAGAACUGUUUGGAAAGACAGACCAUAGUGGGUGACAGUCCCGUAUGGGAAGCAUGAUCGGACGUAUUAAGUAGGGCGGGACACGUGAAAUCCUGUCUGAAGAUCGGAGGACCACCUUCGAAGGCUAAGUACUCCUUGCUGACCGAUAGCGAACCAGUACCGUGAGGGAAAGGUGAAAAGCACCCCGACGAGGGGAGUGAAACAGUACCUGAAACCGAACGCCUACAAUCAGUCGGAGGCUCCUCGAGAGCUGACGGCGUACCUUUUGUAUAAUGGGUCAUCGACUUGGUCUCACGAGCAAGCUUAAGCCGAUAGGUGUAGGCGCAGCGAAAGCGAGUCUUAAUAGGGCGUCGAGUUCGUGGGAUCAGACCCGAAACCGAGUGAUCUAGGCAUGACCAGGAUGAAGGUACGGUAACACGUACUGGAGGUCCGAACCCACACCUGUUGAAAAAGGUCGGGAUGAGUUGUGCCUAGGGGUGAAAGGCCAAUCAAACUCGGAGAUAGCUGGUUCUCCGCGAAAUCUAUUUAGGUAGAGCGUCAUCCGAAUACCCCGGGGGGUAGAGCACUGGAUGGGUAAUGGGGCCCCACAGGCUUACUGAUCCUAACCAAACUCCGAAUACCCGGGAGUACUAGAUGGCAGACACACUGCGGGUGCUAACGCCCGUAGUGGAGAGGGAAACAACCCUGACCUCCAGCUAAGGCCCCCAAUUCAUGGCUAAGUGGGAAAGCAGGUGGGACGACCAAAACAACCAGGAGGUUGGCUUAGAAGCAGCCAUCCUUUAAAGAUAGCGUAACAGCUCACUGGUCUAAUCAAGUUGUCCUGCGGCGAAGAUGUAACGGGGCUCAAGCCAUGAGCCGAAGCUGAGGACUGCGUAUGCAGUGGUAGCGGAGCGUAGUGUGACAUAGCUUCAUGCCUUCUUCACCUUCUCCGGAAGGUAUUGAAGGCUCGAAGCUUUCUGUGAAGCCGGCCUGUGAGGGAUCCGGUGGAGAGAUCACUAGCGAGAAUGAUGACAUGAGUAGCGACAAAGAGUGUGAGAGACACUCUCGCCGAAAGUCCAAGGGUUCCUGCUUAAAGCUAAUCUGAGCAGGGUAAGCCGGCCCCUAAGCCGAGGCCGAAAGGCGUAGGCGAUGGGAACCAGGUUAAUAUUCCUGGGCCAGUGGGAUGUGACGGAUUGUGAAGGUUGUUCACCCUUAUCGGAUUGGGUGGGCCGCUAAUCAGUCCCAGGAAAUAGCCCCACAUGAGACCGUACCCUAAACCGACACAGGUGGACUGGUAGAGAAUACCAAGGCGCUUGAGAGAACGAUGUUGAAGGAACUCGGCAAAAUACCUCCGUAAGUUCGCGAGAAGGAGGCCCGGGUUCAAGGCAACUUGGAUCCGGGGGCACAAACCAGGGGGUGGCGACUGUUUACUAAAAACACAGGGCUCUGCGAAGUCGCAAGACGACGUAUAGGGUCUGACGCCUGCCCGGUGCCUGAAGGUUAAAAGGAGGGGUGCAAGCUCCGAAUUGAAGCCCAGGUAAACGGCGGCCGUAACUAUAACGGUCCUAAGGUAGCGAAAUUCCUUGUCGGGUAAGUUCCGACCUGCACGAAUGGCGUAACGACUUCCCCGCUGUCUCCAACAUCGACUCAGCGAAAUUGAAUUGCCUGUCAAGAUGCAGGCUUCCCGCGGUUAGACGGAAAGACCCCGUGCACCUUUACUACAGCUUCACACUGGCAUCAGGCACAACAUGUGCAGGAUAGGUGGUAGACUUCGAAGCAGGGACGCCAGUUCCUGUGGAGUCAUCCUUGAGAUACCACCCUUGUUCUGCUUGAUGUCUAACCGCGAUCCCUUAUCGGGUUCCGGGACCCUGUGUGGCGGGUAGUUUGACUGGGGCGGUCGCCUCCUAAAGCGUAACGGAGGCGCGCGAAGGUUGGCUCAGAGCGGUCGGAAAUCGCUCGUUGAGUGCAAUGGCAGAAGCCAGCCUGACUGCGAGACUGACAAGUCGAGCAGAGUCGAAAGACGGCCAUAGUGAUCCGGUGGUCCCGAGUGGAAGGGCCAUCGCUCAACGGAUAAAAGGUACGCCGGGGAUAACAGGCUGAUACUGCCCAAGAGUCCAUAUCGACGGCAGUGUUUGGCACCUCGAUGUCGGCUCAUCUCAUCCUGGGGCUGGAGCAGGUCCCAAGGGUACGGCUGUUCGCCGUUUAAAGAGGUACGUGAGCUGGGUUUAGAACGUCGUGAGACAGUUCGGUCCCUAUCUGCCGUGGGUGUAGGAUACUUGAGAGGAGUUGCCCCUAGUACGAGAGGACCGGGGUGAACGAUCCACUGGUGGACCAGUUGUUAUGCCAAUAGCAGUGCUGGGUAGCUAUGAUCGGAAAGGAUAACCGCUGAAGGCAUCUAAGCGGGAAGCCCCCCUCAAAACAAGGUAUCCCUGAGGGCCGUGGUAGACCACCACGUCGAUAGGCCGGAGAUGUAAGCACAGCAAUGUGUUCAGUUGACCGGUACUAAUGGCCCGAUAGGCUUGAUCCGUUCCAG
rnacentral:rRNA from 1 species